rnacentral:tRNA from 2 species
GGUCGAGUGGUGGAAUUGGUAGACACGCAAGAUUAAGGAUCUUGUGCCUAUAAACGGCGUGCGGGUUCAAGUCCCGCCUUGACCACCA